UCCACAUCACUACAGUCUCUUACGCUUUCAGGUAAUUUAAGUCCGUUCUCAACCGAAAUCUCUCUCUCUCUCUCUCUUAUUUUUUGUUUUCUUCUCAGAUCUUUCUCCUUCUCUUGCUAAAUGCUGGCUGAUAUAAGUCUUCUUUGCUCUCGAUUUGAGCUGUGUCUUUGUCUUGUUGGAGCUUUGCUGUUCAUGGGUAAAGGCCUAUUUUGGCUAAUUCUUCUUCAAAUGGUAGAUUGCCCUACUUGAUUUAGCUUAGCUUUGGUUGUACUGCCUGUUUUCCUCUUUCCUUUUUUCUUUAUUUGCUUACUGAAAAAAUAUCGCCAAAAGAAAUUCCCCAAAUUGUAAUGCUCCAUAAAAUUGGAGUUCUCCUGUCUUUUAAGCUUCAAAUGUCUACUUGUCUGCAUAGAUCUCCUCUCGUUAAUGUGGUUUUAGUCAAAAUGCUGAUGUGGGUAUAGCCUGUCCUUUUGGUUUACUAAUUUCGACUAUGAGUUUUGUUUCUUUGGAUGCUAGGUGUCUGCAAAUGCUGCCUUUGUGUCAUGUUUUUCUUAAAUUAAAUGAUGUUUCAUUUCAUAUUUUCUUGGUGCAGCGUUAAGAGUUUCCUUUCUUUGUGUUUGCGUGGUUCACGGGAAACCGCAGUAAAAAGAAAAUGGCUUUAGUGAUCUCAGAUCUUUCUUUUUUUCUCAUUCUGUUUGAAACAGUGAUCUGGGUAUGCUUCUGUGUUUAUCUUAGGCGAUAAAUUCUUGUUCUAAGAGUGGUAGACUGUUCGCAAACGGUGUGGUUCGACCUUUUCUCGAGGCGGGAGAUGACGAUAUUCUUAGAGAGAGUGGUAAUUAUAGAUCGCAUCCAGUUAACCAUUGACUCGUGUGAUGCAGCAGAAGAUAU
rnacentral:lncRNA from 1 species